ensembl:misc_RNA Y_RNA Y RNA
GACUGGCCUAGAUGCAGUGAUGUUUACAAGUAAUGACUAGAACCAGUUAUAGAUAUUUCUGUUCCACUCCCACAGCUUUACCUGACCUAGUCUUUA